rnacentral:rRNA from 1 species
AUGAACGCUGGCGGCGUGCCUAAUACAUGCAAGUCGAACGAGUUCUGAUUAUUGAAAGGUGCUUGCAUCUUGAUUUUAAUUUUGAACGAGUGGCGGACGGGUGAGUAACACGUGGGUAACCUGCCCUUAAGUGGGGGAUAACAUUUGGAAACAGAUGCUAAUACCGCAUAAAUCCAAGAACCGCAUGGUUCUUGGCUGAAAGAUGGCGUAAGCUAUCGCUUUUGGAUGGACCCGCGGCGUAUUAGCUAGUUGGUGAGGUAACGGCUCACCAAGGCAAUGAUACGUAGCCGAACUGAGAGGUUGAUCGGCCACAUUGGGACUGAGACACGGCCCAAACUCCUACGGGAGGCAGCAGUAGGGAAUCUUCCACAAUGGACGCAAGUCUGAUGGAGCAACGCCGCGUGAGUGAAGAAGGCUUUCGGGUCGUAAAACUCUGUUGUUGGAGAAGAAUGGUCGGCAGAGUAACUGUUGUCGGCGUGACGGUAUCCAACCAGAAAGCCACGGCUAACUACGUGCCAGCAGCCGCGGUAAUACGUAGGUGGCAAGCGUUAUCCGGAUUUAUUGGGCGUAAAGCGAGCGCAGGCGGUUUUUUAAGUCUGAUGUGAAAGCCCUCGGCUUAACCGAGGAAGUGCAUCGGAAACUGGGAAACUUGAGUGCAGAAGAGGACAGUGGAACUCCAUGUGUAGCGGUGAAAUGCGUAGAUAUAUGGAAGAACACCAGUGGCGAAGGCGGCUGUCUGGUCUGUAACUGACGCUGAGGCUCGAAAGCAUGGGUAGCGAACAGGAUUAGAUACCCUGGUAGUCCAUGCCGUAAACGAUGAAUGCUAGGUGUUGGAGGGUUUCCGCCCUUCAGUGCCGCAGCUAACGCAUUAAGCAUUCCGCCUGGGGAGUACGACCGCAAGGUUGAAACUCAAAGGAAUUGACGGGGGCCCGCACAAGCGGUGGAGCAUGUGGUUUAAUUCGAAGCAACGCGAAGAACCUUACCAGGUCUUGACAUCUUUUGAUCACCUGAGAGAUCAGGUUUCCCCUUCGGGGGCAAAAUGACAGGUGGUGCAUGGUUGUCGUCAGCUCGUGUCGUGAGAUGUUGGGUUAAGUCCCGCAACGAGCGCAACCCUUAUGACUAGUUGCCAGCAUUUAGUUGGGCACUCUAGUAAGACUGCCGGUGACAAACCGGAGGAAGGUGGGGAUGACGUCAAAUCAUCAUGCCCCUUAUGACCUGGGCUACACACGUGCUACAAUGGAUGGUACAACGAGUUGCGAGACCGCGAGGUCAAGCUAAUCUCUUAAAGCCAUUCUCAGUUCGGACUGUAGGCUGCAACUCGCCUACACGAAGUCGGAAUCGCUAGUAAUCGCGGAUCAGCACGCCGCGGUGAAUACGUUCCCGGGCCUUGUACACACCGCCCGUCACACCAUGAGAGUUUGUAACACCCGAAGCCGGUGGCGUAACCCUUUUAGGGAGCGAGCCGUCUAAGGUGGGACAAAUGAUUAGGGU